AACCUGGGGAAACCCAGGCUAAUACCGCAUACGUCCUACGGGGGAAAGCGGGGGCUCUUCGGACCUCGCACUAUUGGAUGAGCCUAUGUCGGAUUAGCUGGUUGGUGAGGUAACGGCUCACCAAGGCGACGAUCCGUAGCUGGUCUGAGAGGAUGAUCAGCCACAUCGGGACUGAGACACGGCCCGAACUCCUACGGGAGGCAGCAGUGGGGAAUAUUGGACAAUGGGCGCAAGCCUGAUCCAGCCAUGCCGCGUGUGUGAAGAAGGCUUUCGGGUUGUAAAGCACUUUCAGUGGGGAAGAAGGCUUUGGGGUUAAUAACCCUG
rnacentral:rRNA from 1 species